rnacentral:rRNA from 1 species
UGGGGAAUAUUGCGCAAUGGGCGGAAGCCUGACGCAGCAACGCCGCGUUCGGGGAUGACGGCCUUCGGGUUGUAAACCGCUUUCAGCAGGGACGAAGCGUGAGUGACGGUACCUGCAGAAGAAGCACCGGCCAACUACGUGCCAGCAGCCGCGGUGAUACGUAGGGUGCGAGCGUUGUCCGGAAUUAUUGGGCGUAAAGAGCUCGUAGGUGGUUGAUCGCGUCGAAAGUGAAAUCUCAGGGCUUAACCCUGAGCGUGCUUUCGAUACGGGUCGACUAGAGGAAGGUAGGGAGAAUGGAAUUCCUGGUGGAGCGGUGGAAUGCGCAGAUAUCAGGAGGAACACCAGUGGCGAAGGCGGUUCUCUGGACCUUUCCUGACGCUGAGGAGCGAAAGCGUGGGGAGCAAACAGGCUUAGAUACCCUGGUAGUCCACGCCGUAAA